rnacentral:rRNA from 1 species
GACGAACGCUGGCGGCGUGCCUAAUACAUGCAAGUCGAGCGAAGUUUUUCUGGUGCUUGCACUAGAAAAACUUAGCGGCGAACGGGUGAGUAACACGUAAAGAACCUGCCUCAUAGACUGGGACAACUAUUGGAAACGAUAGCUAAUACCGGAUAACAGCAUUAACUGCAUGGUUGAUGUUUAAAAGUUGGUUUUGCUAACACUAUGAGAUGGCUUUGCGGUGCAUUAGCUAGUUGGUGGGGUAAAGGCCUACCAAGGCGACGAUGCAUAGCCGACCUGAGAGGGUGAUCGGCCACACUGGGACUGAGACACGGCCCAGACUCCUACGGGAGGCAGCAGUAGGGAAUCUUCCGCAAUGGGCGAAAGCCUGACGGAGCAACGCCGCGUGAGUGAAGAAGGAUUUCGGUUCGUAAAGCUCUGUUGUUAGGGAAGAAUGAUUGUGUAGUAACUAUACACAGUAGGGACGGUACCUAACCAGAAAGCCACGGCUAACUACGUG